AGUGAACGCUGGCGGUAGGCCUAACACAUGCAAGUCGAACGGCAGCACAGUAAGAUCUUGCUCUUACGGGUUGCGAGUGGCGGACGGGUGAGGAAUACAUCGGAAUCUACUUUUUCGUGGGGGAUAACGUAGGGAAACUUACGCUAAUACCGCAUACGACCUACGGGUGAAAGCAGGGGAUCUUCGGACCUUUCGCGAUUGAAUGAGCCUAUGUCGGAUUAGCUAGUUGGCUGGGUAAAGGCCCACCAAGGCGACGAUCCGUAGCUGGUCUGAGAGGAUGAUCAGCCACACUGGAACUGAGACACGGUCCAGACUACUACGGGAGGCAGAAGUGGGGAAUAUUGGACAAUGGGCGCAAGCCUGAUCCAGCAAUACCGCGUGGGUGAAGAAGGCAUUCGGGUUGUAAAGCCCUUUUGUUGGGAAAGAAAAGCAGCAGGUUAAUACCACGCUGUUAUGACGGUACCCAAAGAAUAAGCACCGGCUAACUUCGUG
rnacentral:rRNA from 1 species